rnacentral:lncRNA from 1 species
CUCUCUACUAGUUUACAACUUCACAUUUUUAUUCUUGUUCUUACUCGUACUCGUCAUUAUUUUCUAUUUAGUUAUCAUAAACAACUCAACUCUUUGUCCGUCUAGAUAAUAAACAAUCUUAACUAGUUUGGUAAUUGUUAAUUAAUCUCUGUGGAUACGAUAAUCUUUUAUACUACUUCUGCGCUAGAGUACACUUGCUCUAGGUGUGUUUUUAACGCAACAC